rnacentral:rRNA from 1 species
AUUGAACGCUGGCGGCAGGCCUAACACAUGCAAGUCGAGCGGAUGAACGGAGCUUGCUCCUGGAUUCAGCUGCGGACGGGUGAGUAAUUCCUAGGAAUCUGCCUUUUAUUUGUGGAUAACGUCCGGAAACGGGCGCUAAUACCGCAUACGUCCUGAUGGAGAAAGUGUGGGAUCUUCGGACCUCACGCUAUCAGAUGAGCCUAGGUGGGAUUAGCUAGUUGGUGGGGUAAAGGCCUACCAAGGCGACGAUCCGUAACUGUCUGAGAGGAUGAUCAGUCACACUGGAACUGAGACACGGUCCAGACUCCUACGGGAGGCAGCAGUGGGGAAUAUUGGACAAUGGGCGAAAGCCUGAUCCAGCCAUGCCGCGUGUGUGAAGAAGGUCUUCGGAUUGUAAAGCACUUUAAGUUGGGAGGAGGGGCAGUAAGUUAAUACCUUGCUGUUUUGACGUUACCAAAAGAAUAAGCACCGGCUAACUUCGUG